GGACGAACGCUGGCGGCGUGCUUAACACAUGCAAGUCGAGCGGUAAGGCCCUUUCGGGGGUACACGAGCGGCGAACGGGUGAGUAACACGUGGGUGACCUGCCCUCAGCUCUGGGAUAAGCCGUGGGAAACCGGGUCGUAAUACCGGAUAUGACUCCAUGACGGCAGUGUUGUGGGGUGGAAAGCCUUGUGCGGCUGGAGGA
rnacentral:rRNA from 1 species